rnacentral:lncRNA from 1 species
GCGGGAUUAAAGCAAGAAAGGGCUAAAGACACUUAACCAGUACCUCUAAUGACAAGGGCAAAAGAAAGAAAAUUGAGAAUCCUAAUGGCCAUGCCUUUAAAGGUCCAUUACAAAAGAAACAAAAUCAGUUUAAUAAAUUUUUCUUUUGCAAUAAAGUUGGACACAUGAAGAAGGAAUGCACAAAAUAUCAUGCUUGGCGUGCAUAGAAAGGGUUGCCUAAGCUG